AAUAAACAGCUGCCAACGCCCGAAAUCCAUUCUCUCCGUCGCACGAGCUGCUUCCGCCGCUGCCGGUUCCGCCGCCGCUGGCAUCGCACGAUCUCUCUCUGUCAUCCCUUGCGUCACACGAGCUCCCUCUGUCGCCGCUCUCGUCGCGUCUACUCCCAUCGUCGCAGAGCUCUCUCCGCCGCCGCUCUCAUCACGUCUGCUCCCUCUGGCGCCUCUUCCAUCUAAUCUCAACAACUUGCUCUCUCGGUUCUUCUCGUAACCAUCACGAAUUUCAGAGUUGUUGAAUAUCCACUGGGGAAGAAUAUAUGAAAUAGCAUCUGUUUAGUUGAUUCGAAUGCAAAUGUUAAUGCCAGUGCUGCCAUGUCUUCCAAUCAAUCAUCUUCUGGGUCUGCUGGUGUUAAGGAGAAUGCAAGCGAGGUGGUGAUUGUGGAUGAUGAUAAAGAGGAAGGAGAGUUGGAGGAGGGUGAGAUUGAUGAUGAUGGCGCUGACCCUGAAGCAUCAGUAACAGAGAGGGUUCAGAGUGUUGCUGAAUGUGGUGUAGUUGCUUCAGAUACUGAUUCCACAUCUCAUAAGCUCAGUGUUAGGGAGGUUCUGGAGGGUGUUACAGUUGCUAAUGUGGAAGAAUCGUUUGAGGGGACUUGCUCUACUCAUGGUGCCAUCAGAAAUGAUUUCACUGACUUGACGUAUCCAACUGAGCUGUCUAGAAGAGCCAAAAUUAACUCAGUAAUGGAUUGGCAACAUUCUAAUUUACGAAAUGGAGCAGGUAGAUACAUUCUAAUUUCAAUUUUGAACUCCUUUAAGUAAUUUGACUAGCCAUGAGCAGUUGAUUUUUUUUCUAUAGACUUGUAUGCUAGUUAGCGAUUAAUUACUAGAAAUGUCAAAGUAAUAAAUUUGUGGCAUAUUGUGGGCUUUGUUCUAUAUGCAAAUCAGGAAGAAAUAGUCUCUCCUCCCUGGUAGGUCUGUCCUUUUCAUGGGUGGCAUUAUCUUCAAGAUGAUCAAGCAUGCAAAUCAAUGGUGCCACAUAAUGGUAGCAGGUUUUCAUACUUUCCUAAAAAAUUGAAAUUAUGCUGCACUCAUUCCAUCGCUUAAUGACCUGGUCCACCUUUACCACCUGGACCCUGAGGUCUGUGUUCUCAUUCUAUAUACUUUUGUCUUGUAAACUUAGGGCAUGAUUUCAUGAUAACUACUGCUUGAUUUUAUCACGAAAACUGUUUAUAUCCCUUCACUUGCAACAUUUAUUAAUUUAUUAUGCUUGAACUUGUUUAUUUUUUAUUGCUUGUUGUUUUCCUGGACAUAGGUUGCUUUCUUGAUAUAUCGCCCUGUGAUGAGACUUCUCAAGUCUCAGAGGAGUCCUGAUGUUUGCUGGCCAUUGAAUAGAUAAUCUUGGAAAGUAUAACAUCUUGAUUCUUGCAUGCAUGAAAACAAAACGGGUCUUUCAAAAAUAUCUUACCAUUCUUAUCUGUGAGCAAUACUUUGGCUGAUCAUAUAUACUUAAUGCCAUCACAUUUCUAUGGACAAUUGAUUUUUAAUCUGUAGGGUAGUCAAGCUUAUAUACUGGACGACAUUAUCGACCAUGUUAAAUAUUUGCAGCUUCAAUUAAAGGUACCUAUUAACUCUGGAUCGUCUCAAUUUUCUCAGCCUCAAUCAUUCUCAUACAUAUAUAACAGUUUUGCUUAUAAUUAUUAUUGUACUAUCAUAUCAAAUGCAUUAACAUGAUGUCAGAAUGAACAAACUAGAAGUUUGGCUGCAUGUGAACACAAAAUGAGGUUCAGUGAUUUCUUUCCCCUUGAAAGAAUUAUCCUUCAUUUAGGAAAAAUAAUAAAUUGGAGCCAUACCAUCAGACCAAAGUGGAGAACAUUAAAUUAAAGCAAAGGACCAUUUUGCAGUGUUUACUAACAGCGGGUUUGGUCAAGUAUAUAGACUUAACUUGAUUUGUCAACUUGCAAAUUAAAAGAUAGCAUAUGUUCCUUACAGGAACUAAGUGGAAGUAGACUACAAGCUGAAUCAACUGCUAUACCACUGGUUUUCCAUGAGCAGGGUUAUGGGCAUUAUAUUGACCAGCAGAAGCUGAAUGAACCACUUGAAGAGAUGAUGGGAAAACUUCUUGAAGAGAAUCCUGCAUCUGCCAGUCAGCUGCUGGAGAACAAUGGUCUUGUCCUACUGCCUAUGGAGUUGGUUCAAGACUUGUACCAAUCCAUGCAAAUCUUCGGCAACAGCAAUGCACUUGUCUGAGUUCGACUUGUCCAGCCGGCAUGCACCGUAAAUAUCAGAGACAAUUUGACAACUUUAGUAGCUUACUAGCUCUAGGUGGUUGUAGGAGAGAUCAAGCACUCCCAAGCUGCUCAUGUCACCAACUCGUGGAGGGACUUCUCCAGUGAAUUGAUUGUGGGAAAGAUCAAGUGCUUCUAAUUUCAAUAGAUUCCCAAGAGAAGCUGAGAUUUCACCUGAGAGAUUGUUGUAACUGAGGUCUAAACUGAUAUGGAGAUUUUUGGCGUUUUCCAAUUUCUGUUUUAGUAUGGAGAAUAACACAGCUUUUAGUAUGGUUGAUAGUUUUAGUAUGGUUGAAAAAUACAUUGAGAAUUAUAGUUGAUGUA